rnacentral:ncRNA from 1 species
UAAUGAAUAUUGAUUUUAGGCAUAAAUAUUGAUUUUGUAUUGAAAAAUUACUUAAUUUUUGAUAACAUUAUAUAUUUAUUUUUGUAGGAUAAAUUGUAUUAUCUAGAGGAUAAUAAUUUUUUUUAGUUGUAGUUUUUAAUUUUAGUUUGUUAUGGAAAUAUAGAACUAGUUAAUUUGAUUUAGGUUUGUUUAAAAUUGUGCCAGCAUACGCGGUUAUACAAUUAAUCCAAGUUAAUUUUUUUGGUUAUAUUAAUUUUUAUUUUUGGAAAUUUAACUUAUAUUUGUUGAGUGAAAUCUUAAUUUAAUAUAUAAUUUCUUGGUUUAAGAUUAUAAAAAAUUUAAGUAUUAAACUAGGAUUAGAUACCCUAUUAUUUUAAGUGUAAAUUGUUAAACCAUAGUAUUAAUAGUUAUGAUCUUUAAAUUAAAAAGAUUUGGCGGUAAUUUAGUCCUUUCAGAGGAACCUGUCCUUUAAUCGAUAAUCCACGUUUUAUUUAACUUUAAUUUUUGUUUAUAUAUCUCUGUCAUUGAGUGUUUUUUUAGAAUAUUCUCUUUAAUUACUAUAUAAUUAAUGUCAGGUCAAGGUGUAACUAUAUUAAAGGUUGAGAUGGGUUACAUUUAAUGUUAAUUUAUUGGAUUGUAAGUUUUUAUUUAUCAUUAAAAAGGAUUUGAAAGUAAUUUUAAUUAUUUUAUUAAAAUGAUUUUGGCUCUAAAUUAUGCACAUAUCGCCCGUCGCUUUUAUUAAUAAGAUAAAAUAAGUCGUAACAAAGUAAUUUUACUGGAAAGUGUAAUUGGAAUUUG